rnacentral:lncRNA from 1 species
UGGACCUCUAACUUUCGAACUCGCCAUGAAGUUCUGCUACGGCAUCAACUUAGAGAUCACACCCUCCAACGUGGUCGACCUCCGCUGCGCAGCAGGUUACCUAGAGAUGACUGAAGACUACAAAGAAGACAAUCUCAUCUCUCAAACCGAGAGUUACCUCGACAAGACAGCUUUCCGCAACUUAAAGAAAUCAGUUCAAGUGUUAACCUCGUGCGAGAGGCAAGAACUGUCCGAAAAGUUCAAGAUUCCCGACAGGUGCGUGGAAGCUAUCGCCAUGAACGCUUGCAGGGAGCAGUUAGUAUCGAAUUUAUCAGAGGAGCUCAAG